CCUACGGGAGGCAGCAGUGGGGAAUUUUGGACAAUGGGCGCAAGCCUGAUCCAGCAAUGCCGCGUGAGUGAAGAAGGCCUUCGGGUUGUAAAGCUCUUUUGUCAGGGAAGAAACGGUCUACUCUAAUACAGUGGGCUAAUGACGGUACCUGAAGAAUAAGCACCGGCUAACUACGUGCCAGCAGCCGCGGUAAUACGUAGGGUGCAAGCGUUAAUCGGAAUUACUGGGCGUAAAGCGUGCGCAGGCGGUUAUAUAAGUCAGAUGUGAAAUCCCCGGGCUCAACCUGGGAACUGCAUUUGAGACUGUAUGGCUAGAGUGUGUCAGAGGGGGGUAGAAUUCCACGUGUAGCAGUGAAAUGCGUAGAUAUGUGGAGGAAUACCGAUGGCGAAGGCAGCCCCCUGGGAUAACACUGACGCUCAUGCACGAAAGCGUGGGGAGCAAACAGGAUUAGAUACCCUGGUAGUCCACGCCCUAAACGAUGUCUACUAGUUGUCGGGACUUAAUUGUCUUGGUAACGCAGCUAACGCGUGAAGUAGACCGCCUGGGGAGUACGGUCGCAAGAUUAAAACNCAAAGGAAUUGACGG
rnacentral:rRNA from 1 species